UACGUAGGGUGCGAGCGUUGUCCGGAAUUAUUGGGCGUAAAGAGCUCGUAGGCGGUGUGUCACGUCGGCCGUGAAAACCUGCAGCUUAACUGUGGGCGUGCGGUCGAUACGGGCAUCACUGGAGUUCGGCAGGGGAGACUGGAAUUCCUGGUGUAGCGGUGAAAUGCGCAGAUAUCAGGAGGAACACCGGUGGCGAAGGCGGGUCUCUGGGACGGUACUGACGCUGAGGCGCGAAAGCGUGGGGAGCGAACAGG
rnacentral:rRNA from 1 species